rnacentral:rRNA from 1 species
UAGGGAAUAUUGGGCAAUGGAGGCAACUCUGACCCAGCAACGCCGCGUGAGUGAUGAAGGCCUUCGGGUUGUAAAACUCUGUGAUGGGGGACGAAUACAUGACGGUACCCCAAGAGGAAGCCACGGCAAACUACGUGCCAGCAGCCGCGGUAAUACGUAGGUGGCAAGCGUUGUCCGGAAUGACUGGGCGUAAAGGGAGCGUAGGCGGUUUGUCAAGUUAGAAGUGAAAUCCCAAGGCUUAACCUUGGAACUGCUUUUAAGACUGACGGACUAGAGUGUCGGAGAGGUAAAUGGAAUUCCUAGUGUAGCGGUGGAAUGCGUAGAUAUUAGGAGGAACACCAGUGGCGAAGGCGAUUUACUGGACGAUAACUGACGCUGAGGCUCGAAAGCGUGGGGAGCAAACA